rnacentral:lncRNA from 1 species
CUUGGGCUCUUUUUCUUCAAUCUUGCUCAUGCAUUCUAUUGACUUGAUCAUGAAGUGAACUAAAGCAUCAUUGACUCUUCUUGCACGUUCCCUUGUCAUAGGACCUCCUAAGCUUUGCAUUGUUAUCAUUAUGUCUUGGAUUACGUCCUCAUCAUUCCCUCCUUCUUGAAAAGAAUUCGACCUCGAAUUUAGACCAUCAUCACCUACAUCAAAAGGAGAUAAAUCAGCCACAUUAAAAGUAGUACUUAC